UGGACCAGUGAUGACCACUGGUGGCGAAUGAGUCAUGGACGAUCAAUAGUAUGUGUCUGGAACUCUAAGGUCCAA